CGAGUUGGCCGGGCGGCCGCGGCGACGGGAACCGACAUCCUCGAGAUGUCAGGCCCGAUGCCGAGGAAAGUCCGGACUCCACAGAGCAGGGCGGUUGCUAACGGCAACCCGAGGUGACUCGCGGGACAGUGCCACAGAAAACAGACCGCCGAUGCGGCUGUGUCCUUGUGACACAGCGGUCGGUGAGGGUGAAAAGGUGCGGUAAGAGCGCACCAGCGCCCCAGGUGACUGGGGCGGCUAGGUAAACCCCGCCCGGAGCAAGGUUGAAGGCCGCACCGGUGUCCUCCGGGACAUGGUGCGGCUGCGCAGGUGUUCGAGGGCUGCUCGCCCGAGCCUGCGGGUGAACCGCUUGAGGUACCCGGCAACGGUGUGCCCAGAUGGAUGGUCGCCACCCGGCGCUCGCGUCGGGGACAGGAUCCGGCUUACACGCCAACUCGUCCG
rnacentral:RNase_P_RNA from 1 species